rnacentral:rRNA from 1 species
UACGUAGGGUGCGAGCGUUGUCCGGAAUUAUUGGGCGUAAAGGGCUCGUAGGCGGUCUGUCGCGUCGAAAGCGAAAACUCAGGGCUUAACCCUGAGCCUGCUUCCGAUACGGGCAGACUAGAGGUAUGCAGGGGAGAACGGAAUUCCUGGUGUAGCGGUGAAAUGCGCAGAUAUCAGGAGGAACACCGGUGGCGAAGGCGGUUCUCUGGGCAUUACCUGACGCUGAGGAGCGAAAGCCAGGGGAGCAAACGGG